rnacentral:sRNA from 1 species
GCGGAGGAAAAGAAACCAACAGGGAUUGCCUCAGUAACGGCGAGUGAAGCGGCAACAGCUCAAAUUUGAAAUCUGGUCACCUUACGGAGGCCCGAGUUGUAAUUUGAAGAGGAUGCUUUUGGCGAGGUGCCUUCCGAGUGCCCUGGAACGGGACGCCACAGAGGGUGAGAGCCCCGUAUGGUUGGACACCGAGCCUAUGUAAAGCUCCUUCGACGAGUCGAGUAGUUUGGGAAUGCUGCUCAAAAUGGGAGGUAAACCCCUUCUAAAGCUAAAUAUUGGCCAGAGACCGAUAGCGCACAAGUAGAGUGAUCGAAAGAUGAAAAGCACUUUGAAAAGAGAGUUAAAAAGCACGUGAAAUUGUUGAAAGGGAAGCGCUUGCGACCAGACUUGCGCCCGUCGGAUCAACCGUCGCUUGUCGGCGGCUCACUCCGGCGGGCUCAGGCCAGCAUCAGUUUUCCCGGGGGGAGAAAGGCGGUGGGAAUGUGGCUCUUCGGAGUGUUAUAGCCCGCCGCGUAAUACCCUCGGGGGGACUG